rnacentral:rRNA from 1 species
AUUGAACGCUGGCGGAAUGCUUUACACAUGCAAGUCGAACGGCAGCACGGACGUCGGUCUGGUGGCGAGUGGCGAACGGGUGAGUAAUGUAUCGGAACGUGCCCAGUCGUGGGGGAUAACGUAGUGAAAAUUACGCUAAUACCGCAUACGAUCUAUGGAUGAAAGCGGGGGAUCGCAAAACCUCGCGCGAUUGGAGCGGCCGAUAUCAGAUUAGGUAGUUGGUGGGGUAAAGGCCCACCAAGCCAACGAUCUGUAGCUGGUCUGAGAGGACGACCAGCCACACGGGAACUGAGACGCGGUCCAGACUCCUACGGGAGGCAGCAGUGGGGAAUUUGAGACAAUGCGCGAAAGCCUGAUCCAGCCAUUCCGCGUGCACGAUGAAGGCCUUCGGGUUGUAAACUGCUUUUGUACAGAACGAAAAGGUUUCUACUAAUACUCGGAGCUCAUGACGGUACUGUAAGAAUAAGCACCGGCUAACUACGUGCCAGCCGCCGCAGUAA